GAUGAACGCUGGCGGCGUGCCUAAUACAUGCAAGUCGAGCGAACAGAUGAGGAUCUUGCUCCUCUGACGUUAGCGGCGGACGGGUGAGUAACACGUGGAUAACCUACCUAUAAGACUGGGAUAACUUCGGGAAACCGGAGCUAAUACCGGAUAAUAUAUUGAACCGCAUGGUUCAAUAGUGAAAGACGGUUUUGCUGUCACUUAUAGAUGGUUCCGGGCCGCAUUAGCUAGUUGGUAAGGUAACGGCUUACCAAGGCAACGAUGCGUAGCCGACCUGAGAGGGUGAUCAGCCACACUGGAACUGAGACACGGUCCAGACUCCUACGGGAGGCAGCAGUAGGGAAUCUUCGGCAAUGGGCGAAAGCCUGACGGAGCAACGCCGCGUGAGUGAUGAAGGUCUUCGGAUCGUAAAACUCUGUUAUUAGGGAAGAACAAAUGUGUAAGUAAAUAUGCACGUCUUGACGGUACCUAAUCAGAAAGCCACGGCUAACUACGUG
rnacentral:rRNA from 1 species